rnacentral:lncRNA from 1 species
CCGGCUAACUUGCGACUAAUACAUGAUUACUUUGCAACUCAUGUUCAUAGUCGGAUUUUGGUAGUAAAAUUACAGUCGCUAAUUAGUCGUAAAAAAUAAAAGCAAAAACAAAAAAAAAUUGCAAUAAUUAUUUAUUAAAAAUAAAUAAAAAUUGCAUUAAUUAUUUAUAAAAUACAAAUACAAAUAAUAUAAAAUCUUAUUUACAUAAAUACAUAUAAAUAUUAUACAUAUAUCUAUUUGCCGGAGACGGAGACGACGGCUUGCCUCCUAAGACAAAGGCGGAGUUGAGGAGCCAUACACCGGAUCUUCCAGUCCUCCUUCCAAACCGGUGCUCCCUCUCCUCCACAUUCCACGCCGCGAGUUGAGGAGCCACAGUGCCACACUAAAGCUCACUCUCCAUCUCUGCUUCUUCGUGACAUCUUCUUCCUCUGCCGUCUCCACCCGGAAGCUCCUCCUUCUUCUUCAUGCUGUUUCACUCAGAUCCGCCGUCGUCUGAGCCUCUUCCGGUGUGAACAUCGUCGUCUGAGAUUCUUCUUCUCUCCGUCUAUCUUCUAACCUUUCUCUGCCGUCACGCUUCACCAUCUUCAUCAACACAUAUUGAACGAAGAAUUGUGCGAGAGAUAGUGAGAUUGCUUCUUCUUAUUCUCUCAGUCUGUAUUGAUUAAUUUGUUGUUCAUUCUGUACAAGAAUGAAGAUUGUGCGAGAGAGAUAGUGAGAUACAGAAAGAUCGUAGUGGGACAGGGGAGAGAUGUGAGUUAUAGAAACACAAUCUGAAUAAAUCUGAACCAUUGAUUUUUUGUAAUCAGUGGUGUAUAAUUGCUAUCCACCCCAUCUUGGUUUCAACCAAUAAGAAAAGAGGAGAGGGAUUGCUAUCAGAGUUCUAUUUUUGUCGACUAGCAGAGUUUAUUUUGUUUUUAAGCAUGCUUUACCAAACUGAUACCCUCGGUUUAGAGAUUUUGGAAUAACUUGAUUAGCUGCUAUCAAAGUUACACCUCGUGAACGAAUAGUUGCUAGAGAAGAAUCACUUUUGCAAGAAGAAGUGUGUAUCACUGAAGUGGAAGUAUCUGAACAACAAACUGAUGACAUCCUUCUAAUUGAUGUGGAUAACCGUCAAUAUGAAGAUCUUUUCGACGAUAUGACGGAUGAAGAAAGUGAAGAAGAGUUCGAUGCAAGCGAUGAUAAUCAUUGUACUGAUAUUGUUGAAAACUCGAAUGAUUCAGAAUGAUGUAAUAUAAGUUUUAAAUAUUUUAAAAAAAUAUAUAAAUCAGUUUAAGACUUAAUGCAAGUGUAUAUUGUUUGGUUAUAAUAAUUAUUUGUUGGCUUUUAAGGAUUUAAUUGGAGUUUAGGGUUUAAGAGAAAAUAGGAUAAAUGCGAGAAUGGGGGAAUGGGGUAAAAGGGAUAUGAGGUUAUAGGUAAGAGACUUUGGGGGUUAGGGAUUUGAUUUUCAGGGAUUCAGAUGUAGUCGUAGUAAAUUCGUCGUAAAGAAAAACACGGGCCUGGUAUAUUCCUUGUAAUACACGUCACUACAAGAAAACAUGUAAUUACCGACUACGACAUCAGUAGUAAAUCAGUCGCAAAAAGCACUAUUACGACUGUUUUGCGACUGAUCAACGUAGUCACUAAUUGUUGUGUCGCUAAUUCAAAGAGUCGUAAAUCAGUCGUUAUUUUUACUACUGCAUUGCGACUGCUUUACGAUUACGGUUAGUAGUGGCUAUUUAGACGCAAAAUAGUCGCAACAGUUGCCGGCUAACUUGCGACUAAUACAUGAUUACUUUGCAACUCAUGUUCAUAGUCGGAUUUUGGUAGUAAAAUUACAGUCGCUAAUUAGUCGUAAAAAAUAAAAGCAAAAACAAAAAAAAAUUGCAAUAAUUAUUUAUUAAAAAUAAAUAAAAAUUGCAUUAAUUAUUUAUAAAAUACAAAUACAAAUAAUAUAAAAUCUUAUUUACAUAAAUACAUAUAAAUAUUAUACAUAUAUCUAUUUGCCGGAGACGGAGACGACGGCUUGCCUCCUAAGACAAAGGCGGAGUUGAGGAGCCAUACACCGGAUCUUCCAGUCCUCCUUCCAAACCGGUGCUCCCUCUCCUCCACAUUCCACGCCGCGAGUUGAGGAGCCACAGUGCCACACUAAAGCUCACUCUCCAUCUCUGCUUCUUCGUGACAUCUUCUUCCUCUGCCGUCUCCACCCGGAAGCUCCUCCUUCUUCUUCAUGCUGUUUCACUCAGAUCCGCCGUCGUCUGAGCCUCUUCCGGUGUGAACAUCGUCGUCUGAGAUUCUUCUUCUCUCCGUCUAUCUUCUAACCUUUCUCUGCCGUCACGCUUCACCAUCUUCAUCAACACAUAUUGAACGAAGAAUUGUGCGAGAGAUAGUGAGAUUGCUUCUUCUUAUUCUCUCAGUCUGUAUUGAUUAAUUUGUUGUUCAUUCUGUACAAGAAUGAAGAUUGUGCGAGAGAGAUAGUGAGAUACAGAAAGAUCGUAGUGGGACAGGGGAGAGAUGUGAGUUAUAGAAACACAAUCUGAAUAAAUCUGAACCAUUGAUUUUUUGUAAUCAGUGGUGUAUAAUUGCUAUCCACCCCAUCUUGGUUUCAACCAAUAAGAAAAGAGGAGAGGGAUUGCUAUCAGAGUUCUAUUUUUGUCGACUAGCAGAGUUUAUUUUGUUCUUGUUUUAAUAUUAUCUGAG